rnacentral:rRNA from 1 species
CAAUAGCGUAUAUUAAAGUUGUUGCAGUUAAAAGCUCGUAGUUGGAUUUCUGGCAGAGUGUCCUCCGUCCAGCAGUUCGUUUGGUUCGGAGCGCUCUACCAUCCUUCUGUUAACCUUUCCGGGAUUUACUUUUCGGACUGGGGCUCAGAUAUUUUACCUUGAGAAAAUUAGAGUGUUUCAGGCAGGCUAUUCGCCGGAAUACAUUAGCAUGGAAUAAUGGAAAAGGACUGCAACCUCUUCUGUUGGUCUGGGAGGCUGAAGUAAUGAUUAAUAGGGAUAGUUGGGGGCGAUUAGUACUUAACUGUCAGAGGUGAAAUUCUUGGAUUAACGGAAGAAAAACUACUGCGAAAGCAUCUGCCAAGGAUGUUUUCAUUGAUCAAGAACGAAAGUUAGGGGAGUCGAAGAUGAUCAGAUACCAU